GUCUGUGUGUGUGUGUGUGUGGGGGGGGGGACAACAGAGUGAGAGAGAGUGGGGUGAGACACGGGGAGGAAAAACAGAGAGAUAGAGUGUGUGUGAAAGAGAGAGAAAGAGAAAGAGGGAGAGAGACAGACAGAUCGGGCAGGACAUCAGAAGAUCGGACAGCGUGUGUGAAUGUGUUUGAGUAUGUGUGUGUGUGUGUGUGUGUGUGUGGGACAGAGGCAGGGAGAGAGGGAGGGAGGGAAAAGAACCCAUUCCCCUCAGUUCCACACUAACUUUUCAACGUGUGCACUUGAGGGAAGUUGGCUGUUCGACCGGCUACGGAGGGGUUUUUCCUUCCCUUUUCUCCCACCUAUACACUUUUCCACGUUCUGCAACAACAUCGACGGAGACAAGCAGAGAACUUCAACUGAAUAACUAUCCGCUAUUAUUUCAUACAAUCUCUGUCCCUGAUGACCAUGUUGGAAUCCGGCACUCUCCAUCAGCACACUGCAUACGCACAGGGGACUGGGAUGUGUAGCGUGUGUGAGGAGGAGAUGGAAUAUGCUGGGGGAGAAAGAGGCGCUGCUCUGGGCUAGGUAAGAGGAGACCUGUGGUCAAGAAGAGAGCUCCAGUAUUGGAAGGCCGGCUGAAGCGCUCACCAAACAGCUGGGAGUGUUCACGCUUUCUUUAUGCCAAAACAACAGAGCCUGAAAUAGAGUUUCAACUCAGCAGAUGUGGCAAGAACAAUCACAGGGGUGGAACAACACAUUUUCACACAUUUUUCAGUUUCGGUUCAAAUUGACCUUAAAUAAAAAGUGAAACAAUCA